CCUGAACGCCAUACCACCCUGAAUGCGCCCAAUCCUGUCUGAUCUCGAAAGCUAAGCAGGGUCGGGCCUGGUUAGUACUUGGAUGGGAGCCGCGUGGGAAUACCGGGUGCUGUAGGC
ensembl:rRNA 5S_rRNA 5S ribosomal RNA